rnacentral:lncRNA from 1 species
AGACUAGAAGAAGAGGAAAUGGCACCAAAAGACCCAUUGGGGUACACGGACACCACGUACCUGCCAUUUCCCACAAGAAAUAGAAAACAAGCUGUGGAUGAACAAUUCACUCGCUUUGUUGAGAUGAUCGAGAAGAUACAUGUAAGCGUUCCUUUGAUGGACGUUCUACAUGUACCUUCUUAUGCCAAGUACAUCAAGGAUAUCAUCAACAACAAGCACCCACUGCCAUCCACUGAAACAAUUAAGCUGACGGAAGAGUGUAGCGCUGCUAUACUCAACCGUCUCCCGGAGAAGUGGAAGGACCCAGGGUGCCCUACAAUCACAUGCUCAAUCGGAACUCAGCGCUUUGAUCAUGCGCUAUGUGAUUUAGGUGCAAGCGUAAGUAUGAUGCCUAAAGUUGUCUUUGACCAGCUCAACUUCACUCAACUCAAGCCAACCACGAUGACUCUCCAACUGGCCGACUCAUCGGUCAGGCAUCCAACGGGAAUAGCCGAAGAUGUACCAGUACAAAUCAGAGGACAGUUUGUUCCCGUGGACUUUGUGGUGCUUGAUAUGGAGUUAACAAAGGAAUCACCAUUGAUCCUUGGGAGACCCUUCUUGAGCACCGCAAGAGCAUAGAUUGAUGUGAAGGAAGGAAAGAUCAGUUUACACAUCAAUGGGAAGGAGGAGAAGUUUGAGUUCAAACCAAGGCUUCAAGAGCAAUGCUCAAUGAUCCGGGUUAGAUAUGGACCAAAUAAACAGAUAAAAGAGGUGCAGAUACAGCCUGAAAUUAUUUAUAGCAUCUCUAAAUCAGUAAAAAGACCUACACAAAAGCCAGAGCAAAAGAAAAAGGCAGCUCCCAAAAAGAAACAUGAGGAGCAAAAUGAAACUUGUAAGCAAAACAAGGCUCCGAAACAAAAAGAGAGUCCUCUUCAACCAAAGAAGGUAUGGAAGGAGAUCCAAAAGGACACCACACCACCAAAAACCAAUCAGAUGAAGUGGAGGCCAAAGAAGGAACAAGCAUCUCCGUCCACUUCUCCCGGACAAGGAGAUCCAUCACCAAGCACGGGAGAAAAAGGUCUUGCUCACCAGACCUAAAAAGGUAAGCCCUGAAAAAAAUAAAACAAUAAUAAACACUGGCCAGAAGCUAGCUUGGGGGAAGACCCCCAAUCCCGAGGUUAUCUGCAUUGCAUAUUUAUGCAUCCUUAAUUUUAAAUUAGCAUGUUUACUUUAUGAAAAUUCCAUUAGUUAAAUUCAUAAUUUAAUUAUUGCAUAUAAAAAAAUGAAAAAUGCUAAAAAGACAAAAAUAUAAUUCCACUCUUAUAUGUGAUGUAAGAUAUAUGCUUCUUCCUUGUUGAAAUGAUGAAUAGUUGCUCUCUCGUAAUUUCUUUUCAGUAUCUAGUUUCAACCUUGAAUUUUCCAAAUUAAUAAAAUGAUUAAAUGCGUGGGUUGCAAAAUGCUCUAUCUAAAGUCUAAAGUAAUUAAUGGAUAUAUUUGUGAUGAUCUGAGCUGCUAGUAUCCUGUUCUAAACAACGCUAGAGUUCUGGAGUUUUUACAAAAAUAAAAUAAUCACAUUGAGUUAGAUUAAGCUUUGUUGACCCUUUAAGAGGUUGUCAUACCAUUGAAAACAAAAAUAUUUCAUUAUGUUAUCAUCUUAAAAGUUUGUUAGAAGGCAUAUGGCUAUGAAAAAGAAAAAAAAAGCAUCCGAGGAAAUAAAAAGGGACAUGUGUCCGAAACCUCAAAAAGAAAGAUCACGAGGAAAUAAAAAGGGACAUGUGUCCGGAACCUCAAAAAAAAAUAUGGGCUAGUGCCCAAGAGUAGAAUUAGCCACAUAGCCAUGUGUCUCUAAUAGACAAAAAGAGAAUGAUAGAAAAGAAAAAGUUUUCAAAAAUUCAAUGGUAUGAUUAACUUUCUCUUUGGAUCCAUUGUUUAAUUUGACAAAUAAAUGUGCUAAGUUUUCAAAAUAAAAAAAAACUCCGGAACAAAAGUAAAGUAAAGAACUAGGGAUAUAGCGCUCGAUCUGAUCAAAUCCAUCCUGCAAAUGCUUAAGGACUCGAGGUAUGAGCAAUAAGCCCCAUGACAUAUCUGUUCAAAAUUCAAAGGAGAAUUCUUGUUUGAAGGUAUGUACUGGAUAGAAGUGAAAAUAUUGUAGCAACUCCUGAUCAACAACCAAGAUCUUAGCUUCUUGCUCGAGGACGAGCAAGGGGUAAGCUUGGGGGAGUUUGUUGGCGGUUCUUAAUGACAUAUUUACCCCGCCAACAUAGUCCAUGCAAAGGAAGAAAAGCAUGUAUUUUACUCACAUAUACUUAUUAAAUGCUUACCAAGUUCCACAUGUAGUGCAAGUUGUGUUUUGCAGAUCAUAUACAGGCAUACAGGUGGAAAGCAAAUAAAAAGGCGCAAUCCGACACGUAAAAAAUGCUCAAAUAAACAAGUACCCAAAAGCCCAAUAUAGAAGUGCAUCAAUUUGCAGGUGGAUCUGGACUCAGGGGCCCAAGAGGAAGGCAACAGGCUUCGGGCCGGGGACAGCGGGGCCCACCAGGGGGCGGCCGCCCCCUAGGGUCGGCCGACCCUGACCGAGCCCAUCGCGGCACCGCCUUUCGCAGAGGCGGUGCUGAGCCUAUCCUCCCGCAGUCCCCGCGUGCAAAUUGCAGUUUACACCCUAGGGAACCGACCUUCCCCACCUAUUUAAGGUGGGGGAGAGGGAGGCUCCAUUCAUCUCAUCACAUUCACAAUCAACACUCCACCUUCAAGGCAUUUGAGCACUACCUCUUCUUAGUUUUUUUCCUUUUAGCUUUUAGAGAGAGAGUUGGGUGAGCUAUCAAGGAGGGCUUGGCUCCUUGGAGAGAAACUUGGGUAUGAAUAAAGAAUAUCUUUACUCCAAGUCCAUGGCUUAUCAUGUCUGAUAUAGUUCUUCAUAUGAACUAGAGUAUAGUUCUUAUGCUAUGGUAUAUGACAUAGAUCAUAGGCCCUGUUUUAUGAUGCUAGCAUAUGAACUAGAAUAUAGUUCUAGUGAAAAUGAUAUGACAUACAUUUUAGUAUAUAGUUCUUAUAGUAUAAUGCUACCCUAGGGCUAGUAGUGUAUUAUAUGAACUAGUGCUAAGUGUAUGUUGUAUUAUUCUCACUUAGGACUUUAGUCUAAUUGCUUCAUGUUAAUUAAUUGCCUAGAAAUAGCUUUGCGUGAAGAUGGGGGGUUUAUCAUGCUCUUUUGAGUAGGCUCGGGCUUCUUACAUGUCGAUCCGUAGGGUCGGGGACCCGAGGGAGUCCGAGUAGGUUCUUUGCAUGUAAGCAUGGUGCUUGGGUGUAAAGGCCGGGUAAAUGCAUUGUCCUAGUCCACGGUUGAGGGGAUGGCGGCAGGUGGUGACAGCCCUGUCCGUCCUUGGCAUUCCCCCACGUUCGGCUAGGGUGUAGGAGUCUAAAUAGUUGCGGAGGUUGCUGGCAGACCAGUACUCGCGUAACCUCCCAAACCAUCUAAACACAGGACUAGAUCUAAGUAGUAUAAUUACAUGAUUAACUUGUUCUAUGACAUGAUCUGUAUCUAGGACCACACCAGCUCCAAUAGGUUGUUUGUUUAUUCUUUGAUUCAAUUCAUUCUUUUAGUCUCUUUUUAUUCCUUAGCCCAUAUGCCAUGCCUAGAUUGUGAUGGAUCACUAUUCUACAUAUAAAUGUUUAUCACCUUCUAUGAAUUUUGAUUCCAUUACUGCUUUCAUAAUUACUUUGAUCUAUGCUUAUCUUAGAAUCCUUAACAUAUUAAGCCUUCCUUAGAGCGAACCUAUAAAUACGACACUCGGUAAAUCCUCGGGUUGAAAUGCUACACGAUAAUUCCCGUCCGCUUGCGGUACUUAAACUCCAAACCUAAGGAACUAUCACCCCGGUAUAUACUUAACACUGUUGCUAGACAUGCGCUGAGCUAGUGACUUGUUAAGGAAUACCAACAUGGUAAUCCUAGUGCCACUACCAUGAUUAAGAACUAGAACCCUACCCUAAUGGUAAUAAGGCGCCGUUAUCGGGAAGGUAGAUCUAGCUUCCUAUUCAAGGUGGUGAUGCUACGGAUCUGCCAAUAUAACACUGCCAAUGUCAUUAUCAUGAGUAGAGCAGAACCCUAUUCUAGGUAGCGACGCUAAGAAACGCUAACAAGCAUUUCUGGCACCGUUGCUUAGGAUAGAUUUAUACUCUAAUCUUGGUGAUUGCAUUAGUAAGUGUUAUCACGACAUUUCUGACAUCGCUGCUGAGGACGGAUUAAACCCUGUUCUUAUUGAUGACGUUAAGAAAUGCCAACAGCGACCUCGUCUCCAGCGCCGCGCGACCUGGUUAGGAGAGAGGAGUAACUACUCCCUCGGAGUAGGAAAAAUUUACCCUAUAUAUAUAGGAGAGAGGAGUAACUACUCCCUUGGAGUAGGAAAAAUUUACCAUAUAUAUAUACUAAAAAUACAUGUAUAUUAUAAAUUGUAGUGUUUUGAUUUGUAUAUAUAUUCAAGUAUAUAUAGACACUAAAAAAAUAAUACAUGCUAGUAUAUUAUUCUAGUAUUACUUUUUAGUACAUUAUUCUAGUAUGCAUGUAGUCUUUAAUAUAUAUUUUAAUUUCUAGUGUUUUGUAUAUAUUAUUGUUUGUACUAUUAUACUAGUAUUAUUUUUUAGUAUUAUUUUUAGUAUAUUAUUCUAGUGUAUUACUUGGCUUAAAAGACUUUUUAGUAUAUUAUUCUAGUAUAUUAUGAAUUGUAGUGUUUUGAAUUGUUGUGAAAUAUUGUGCUAGUAUAUUAUUCUAGUAUUAUUUUUAGUAUAUUAUUUUAGUACAUAAUUAAUUCUAGUGUUUUGUAUAUUUUAUUAUUUGUACUAUUAUUCUAGUAUUAUUUAUUAUUAUUAUUAUUAUUUAGUAUAUUAUUCUAGUGUAUUACUUGGCUUAAAAGACUUUUUAGUAUAUUAUUCUAGUAUAUUAUGAAUUGUAGUGUUUUGAAUUGUUAUAAAAUAUAUUGUGCUAUUAUAUUAUUCUAGUAUUAUUUUUUAGUAUUACUUUUUAGUAUAUUAUUCUAGUGUAUUACUUGGCUAAAAAGAUUCUAGUAUUAUUUUUUAGUUUAGAGCACUCUAGCACUUAUAUUAUUCUAGUGUAUUUCUUAUCUUAUCUUAUUUAUAUAUAUAUAUAUAUAUAUAGUUGCAGACAUAGAAAUGGCCGACCGUCCUCACAAUGAUCCUGAUUAUAUGGAAGAUGUCAUUCAAAAUAUGAUCGACGAUGGUAGUCAGUAUUUUAUGGAUUACUACGAGAUCAUGCAAGACAAUCCGACUGAGCAACAAGAGGGCAAUGCCCCUGAGCAACAAGAGGGCAAUGCGCCUGAGCAACAACUUAUCAUGCAACAAGAAGGAAAUACCAGCGAGGUACGUGAAUGUAAACAUAUAUAAUGCAUCUCUUACAUUAGGUUUUAGACUUACUUAGUUAUUAAUUUAGUAUUUUUGUUUCUAUAUCUACGUGUAGCCUUCUAGAUCCACCUCUACGGGGAGAAGCGUACCUCCACGAGGGCCAAAGAAGCCGUUGGAGGGCCGCUACAUAAUAUCCGAGUUUGAGAUACCUACAGGCAGACCACUUGGUGAACAUGCAAAUAAAUAUGUUGGUCACUAUGGAUACCUUGUGAGAGACCAAAUACUGAUUAGUGCUCAUGAUAGAGAGAGAAGCGAGGUGCUCUUGAAAUCAGUUUUGUCUCUGAUCGUGACAAGGAGUUAGUUUGGAAAGCCGUUAUGGCGGUUUUCACCUUCGACACCAACGAUGAAGAGUUGAAGGUGCGAAUUUAUGACUAGACUAUGAAGAAGAUGGCGGUACUGUUCUAGAAUUGGAAGAAGUCUUUGUACAAUAAAUUUGUCAAGAAAAAUGAGACUCUAAAUUUCAACCUUAAGCAAUAUGUAAAGCUAAGGGCCUUCUGGGAUGACUUCGUGCAGUACAAAACAUCAGAAGAGGGCGAGGAACGAGCCAUUAGGAACAAAGAGAAUGCAAGUAAAAAGUCAUACCACCAUCAUAUGGGAUCAAGUGGUUAUAAGAGUGUUGUUCCUAAGUGGGACCAAAUGGAACAGGAGAUGCUUGCUAGGGGGUCACACCCGAGACAAUAACAAAGAAUUAGAGCAAGCGCUCAAAGCAUUGGUUCUAUGGUCAUGGGAGAAGUGUAGACCCAGACACCAGCGCACUAGUUUGGGCCAAGAAAUCUCUAGAGCAGUAGAGAGACUAGUCCGUGCACGAGAGGCGGUUCAGUCUGGUGAGUUCAGGCCUAACAGGGAGAAGGAUGAACUCAUGUAUGCGCUUGAAAAUCUUGAGCACGUGGGCGUACGGGAGGCUAUGGGGGUAGUUUUAUGGCUGCAUUCAUUCCAAGCUGAUCAAGAAACCUACAGAAACCGCCAGAGAAAGAAGGACGAGGAGGCAGAGUGGAUCCGUCGGCUGGAAGCUUUUGUUAUGCAGUCACAAGAGCGCGAGAAAUCUCGUGAAGAAUGGAUGCAGGCGGAGAUUAAAAGGCAAGUACAAGAAGCACUUAGUCAAAUGACGAAAGGGCAAGGUACAUCACAGCCUGAGGUCAACAUUAGCCCCCAGGCCAGUUGAAAAGCUGUUGCGCAUCCAUGGAAGUACCAACCAUUCAGGAUGACACGAAGCUACACUUCCCCAUGGAUGAUGUCAUAGAGUCUUUUACUACUUGUGAGCUGCAUGUACGAGAUGGGAAUGCAACAAAAAAGGUGGCUAUCGGUGUUGUCAACCCUAUCGACCAAACGGGAACUCCAAGAAUCCAUAAUCGACCAGUACCAGCUGGAUAUGCUAGCAUCUCGGUUGAUAGAGUUGAGAAAGGUUGUGGCAGUGUGCCUCUAGAAAUAGAAGGGGGAGACGAAGAGAAGACCUUAGGUAAAGCUGAGAAGACGUUUAUUUGUUAGCGCAAGCGCUUUAUAAUUAUUCCAGGAAUAUCACUGUCGCCUCUUCCUCGCCAUAGGUUUGUGCAUGAUUUUACUUCUUAUAUUAUUUAUUAUGUAUUGCAUUUAAAUAAAGUUUGCUCACAGAACUUGUUAUUGUUUUCUCUGCAGGGACUCCUCCAACCUAAGUCCAGUUCUUUCCCCAGCGCAUCAUAGUGCUACGGGCGGUGACAAUGCUGGAUCUCCUCCAACACCUGCGGCGGCAACACCGAUCUGCCACCGCAUCCACCACGGUCUUCACCUCCUCCACCGAGGUCACCAACUCCUCCACCGCAUUCUCCAACACCAAAAAGAUCGGCCCCACCACCUCCACCUCCUACACCGCCCUCUCCAAAGAGUACACGAUCGGUCCCAUCGCCUCCAAAGCGAGGUAGUCAGAAGCGAUCCGCCCUAGAACGACCGAAGUCAUCGGUCCCACCUCUAAAGAAGAAGGCUACCUCAGCAAAGAAAGCUAAGACACUAGAGAAAUUAUCUUAUGAAAAAAGUAAAGAGGAGGUAAUUGCUACAUCCAAAGCUGAGGUAAAACAUUUUUUCGAUAAAUUGCAGCAGGAAAGGAAAGAGCGGCAAAACCCAGAAAAGCUAUACUUUUAUGUAAAGCCAGAGGAACUGAGGAAGAAGGUGGCAGACCAGCAAAAGAAGCAGCGGGAAGCUCAAAAAAGCCAGCACUUUCAGACUAUGAUCACUCUCUGGUCAAGUCUUUACAGCCUAGAAAGAGAGUAGGAAAGGGGGUCCCACAGCUCGGGGAAGUAUCAAAACUGGUGCCCCCGUUGAUUGUGCCAAAUCAACAUGGCUCAAAUGAGGACUUGAUGCCAAAGAAAUUUUUAAUCUUGUCUGAGCUAGAUUUGCUUGAGCAUUACUUUGGACAGAGCGGUCUAAAUAUUGAAGACAUUGCCGCCAUUGUUGGAUGUCAAACUUUUGAAAAGGCUGAGGUAGUUGAUCAAUGGAGGGCAAGAUAUGAACCAGGCAGGAGUCUAAUGAACCCUCAACAUUUACAUGAGCUCGAAACACAAAUGUUUGCAAUAAACAAGUGGUGCAUGGAGGCAUCUAAAAGGGGAGAUAAUUGGAUUUCUGUUCGUAUUCAACAACAUCACUACUUCCAUGGAGAUGACCUCAUACGUCCAGUUUGAAGAAUUGCACCAAUUAUGUCACCUCGACGCUCUCGACAAAUCUCUUGUCAGCUGCUUUUGUCUGUAAGUAUUUCUUUCUUUUUAUUAAACUUCUACCUUCUUUAAUUAUAUGUAUAUAAUCCUUACACACUUAUGAUUUGUAUGUGUAUAUGCAGGCACCAAAUGAGAGAGCUCACAAGCAAAAAUGACAAUAGUAUUGGGUUUGUUGACUCUUAUAUUGUUUUCAAGGCUACGCAGGCAGUGUGGACAACAUCUCAUGAGACAGAAGUCUACACCAAUCUUAUGAGGUUCUUUGUGAACCAAAAAGAAAAACAAAAAAUACUCUUCCCCUACAACUUCGAGUGAGUUAUAUAGUUAUUAAGUGCAUGCACAUUUUAUUUUACUUAUUAUUACUUGAUUCGAGUUUUAUAUAGUUAUAGGCCUCUAUAUAUAUAUGUGUGUGUAAAUAGCUUUCACAGGAUACUCAUGGUGAUUGAAAUUCCCAAGAACCGAUUGAUAAUCUAUGACUCAAUGAGAAAACCACAAGAAAAUUACCAACAAAUGGUAAACAUUAUUCAAAGGUACGUAAUGUUGAUCUCAGCUAGAAGAAUAUCAUGAUAUGACUCUGCAAUUAUUAGCUAAUGAUCCACAAUGGCUGUGUGUAGGGUUUGGGAAAGAUUUAUUGACCGUGAACAUCUCAUUGGUUGUAAAGCACCGCUUAAUAUAAUUCAUCCACAAGAGAGUUGUACUAGCUAGCAAACUUUUGCUAACUUUUAGCUUUCUUAUUGUCGUGGUUGUGAAUCUUUUUUAUAUAUAUCGUACAGUGGUGUUUAAGACAAGAAGGGGGGAACAACCUAUGUGGAUAUUAUGUGUGCAAAUUCAUGAUGGUACAAGUCAAUCAAACACCCACAGAGACGCACAGAGUACGAUACAUGUCUCUUUUCAUUAUCUCCUGAAUUAUAUUGAAUAACUUAGAUAACUAAUACCUUUUUUAUUUUAUUUCAAAUUGAAGACGGAAUGGUUGAGGGAAAAGGUCAUGCAAAAAGACCGUAUCAAAGCUAUUCAAGAGACGAUAGCAGGAUUUCUCCGCGAGCAAGUGAUCAAUCCAAACGAUGAGUUUCACUUCAACAACAACGAAACUCUUAUUCUAAACAACGAUGAUCAUUUAUGUCAGCUUUAGAGAUUGGAAAAAAAAAACUCUAUGUAUAUAUAUGUUACGAAUUUUGUACUUAUAAAACUAUAUAUAAAGCGUUUUACAUAUCCAUCUAUUUAAUUAUUGAUGUGGCCUAUUCCUUUUAUUACAGGCAAAGCUUAAUUAUAAAGCUAAGCCUAUAAUUUCCAUUUAUAUAUGCUUAACAUGUGUGUAAUAUAUAUAUAUUAUUAUAUCCACAUAAAAUAUGUAUUGACAAACCUAUCAUUAUUAUAUUAAAACAAUAAACAGAAUCGAAGAAAUGAACCGGAAAAAGAAAAAAGUAACCCUUUAAAACCGAUUGGUAAUACCAACCGGUCUUAAAGGGUCCUGCAAUGUGGCAACCCUGGUAGGACCCUUUAACACUGGUUGGUAUAACCAACCGGUGUUAAAGGGGGGGCUUUAGCCCCGGUUCUCUGAACUAGGACUAAAGGGUGGUCCUUUAGUCGCAGCACUGGCUCGAGAACCAGCGCAACAGGCCCUUCCCGACCAGUGCUAAUGCCCGAACGUGCAGCAGUGUGGGCUAUCAGCCCAUUAAUCAUAAGAUCUCUCUCUGCCUAGACAAACAACUCGCCCUCGAGCCAUAAGUCGGGAUAGAGGACCAAGGGAACUGUUGUAGCGACUCCCAUGUAGCAUGGCCUUUCAAAGCCUCGUGAAAGGCCGUUCAUGUGUAUGGCUACUUCGAAGUGGUCGCAGCAAACACCGGUGGAGGCAUUCUCACGAUUGUUGGCAGUGGAAUGCAGCAGUGCUACGCGGUGUGCUCCCACCGAUGACACCGUGCCUUCUCUCCACCGGAUGACUGUCGGUCUGCACCACACAGAGAAGAGCGUAGGGCUUCCAACCAUCGACAUUGAAGAUUUUGAGUUCACCGCCCAUGUGGAAAACAUACCCACCGUCGAUGGAGAAAAUCGUUAGCCGAAGUUCCUCGAUGCAGCGGACAAAAUCAAAGUCCUCCAUGUGGCAUAGUGCAACUUUGAGGAACUUUGGAGGGGUGUAGAGCUUAAUCUACCACAGAUCAUGCAUCUCCCGCACCCACUGACAUGCAAGGAGGCCACGUAAAGCAGCUUGCAGCUGCACUACCACCGACACCUGGUGGGUAAGCAUCUUGCCCACGGGCUCUGUUGCGAUGGCUAUCGGCUGCUCAAUCUGUUGUGACUUCUCGUCCUUGUCCUAGAUCUGCUUGACCUGGUGUCCCUAUAGAAGAUUGUUGACACCUGUUAACUUACAAAAUUUGUUAGCAUUUAUUUCUCCACCAGAAAUGAAUAUCUACUAGAAUAGGGUUAUCACUGACAAUUUUCACGAAUUUUGUAUAUUCUUUGUUUUCCAUAGAUUAUUUCAGAAAGUGCUAAAAAGAGGGAUUUAUGUGCUAAUCGGCCACAAAACUUAUCCGCGAUGGAAGGAUGACACCAGAGGAUUCAGGAACACUCGAGAAGACACCCGACGCGAGGGGGGAGCCAACAGCCGCCAGGUAGGGUCGACCGGCCCCACCCUAGCUUCUGUUGACGGUCCUUAAGUACUAAAUUUAGCCAUCAACUAAACAUGGAAAAGGAUCAAUAUGCACAAAACACCUAGAAUUAGGGUUUUAUCUGACAGAAUUCCACGAGCUUUGGUGUUUCUCUAUUUCUGCAGGGGGUUAUCAAAAAAUAUGGAGAGAAGGCCCACAUGUCAUGUUUACAACGAGAUAAUUACGUGCCGCGCAAUUUUCCUUAAUCUAGAAGAGUCCAGAAGCCACGGGAACGAACGGGAGACCGGACGGGCUCAGGGGCAGGGCGCCCGCCCUAGCCUCGGGGCCAAUCACAACCAAUCUCCUGGAUCGUGCUCCACCGCCUUUGAGGAUGAAUCUAAACCAUGCAAGCAAGGUCGGUUUGAUCCAACGGCCCAAAUUCACUUGAGGGGACUAUAUAAGCAAGGCCUCUCCACCCCAGGGGAGAGAGGAGAAAUCAUUAUCAGAGGAAGCCAUCAAAGUUAGGGUUUUAGAACUUCUCUCCCACAGAGAAUUAGAAUUAGCUACUCCGUAAUCCUUCAAAUUUAGAGGAUUGAUUAGAUAGAAUUGGAGAAGUAGAGCCUAGCGCUCUGGAUUCGGAUCUUCGUUAAUAAGAUUGGUAUUAUUUCAUAUCUUUCUCCAUUACUUUAUUCUAAUUGCAUUAUGUCUCUAUUUAUUAUGAUCUUAAUUUACUCUAGUUCUAUAUUUGAUAUAGUUAUGAUUGAUAAUGAGUUUAUGUAUAAGUUUGCAAAGCGCUUAGCUCUUGACGCGCGAGAGUUAAGUGGUAGAUCACAUGUGGGCGUGGUGCUUAGAUGUUAUUUACAUGCAAAUGUAUCCUAUUGGCCAGGUCAUGUGGUAGUUCACGAUAGUGAUAGCUUCAUUGAUUCUUAUAUAGUCCACCCUCCUUUGAUAGGACUGGCAGAAUUUGUAUUGCGGAGUAAUUCUUGCGAUGCUCUGAUUUACUUUAGCAAUGUUCCUUAUACAUGAAUGAAGAGUCUUUUAUACUAUACAUGAUCUUGUAGAUAACUAGAGUAGAUUGUGACUUAGUAGAUAGUAGAUAACUUAGAAUCCAUUCUCUAGCUAAUCCGACGUCACCUUACAUAUAUGAGGAGUAGUCUAUUUUCUAAUCGCUGUGUUAUUUACCCAUGAGCUUAUAUUUCAUUAUCAUUAUUGUUAUAGCUUACCCCCUGCUAAAAUAAGUGACUGUGUGACGAGUUCCUCAUUAGUAAUCAUGUUCUUGCAAGUUUAUCUCUAGUCUAUGCCUUGAUAGAUUUUAUCCUUAUCUUCAUUUCCACUGUCCUCUUAAGCAAAAUUAUAAAUAACGAUACCUAGAAUACUUUCCUAGUGAAAUGCUACAAUGAGGUAUUUUAUCUGUGCGCUUGCGGACAGAAUAGAUUAUUUUCUAGAGAGCCUUUACAUUCAUAAAUACCUUUGUACACUCUGGCACCAUGCUGGGGAUGACAACCUAGUAUCUAAGUGGUGUUAGUCAGUGUCAACAAGCAUUUCUGGUGCCGUUGCCGGGGAACAAAAGGGAAACACAUAGGAAGUGUAAGGAAAGUCAGGAAGUCAGUCAAGGUUAUUCACAUAAAAUAUUAGACUAGACUAAGGAGAAAUAAUUGCAUAAAACAGCUACUAGUCUCUGCUAUACAGAGUAUAUCAGGAUUGACUUUGGUACAUUCAACUCUUCAUCAUCAGAACCAAAGCGAUCAAGAACGGAAGAAGAAGCUAGCUACCAAUUGCUGAAGCUAUGGCACAAAAGACCUUGCAAGAAUUCUCUGCUCCAAGUCUUGAGAACAUUCCAACUGGUCGAAGGUUUGCAGUAGAAGAAGGAGCACCCGAGUUUGAGCUUAAGUCAAGCCUCAUCAAUUUGGUACAAGCUACACAAUUCAGUGGAAAGGCACAUGAAGAUGCUAGUGCACACUUGCAGAAUUUCUUAGAGAUUGGAAGCACAAUCCGCAUCAACGGAGUUGACAAAGACGUCAUACUGCUUCGCCUCUUUCCAUUCUCACUAGAAGGGAAAGAAAGGAAGUGGUUCUACACUCAUCAAGAUAACAUCAACAACUGGACGAACUUGUCAGAUGCCUUUCUAUCAAAGUUUUUACCUAUAGGCAAGACAGCUGCCUUAAGAGGAAAUAUUGUCAGUUUCCAACAGCAGAAGACUGAAACCAUUUCAGAAGCAUGGGAGCAUUUUCAAGGAUAUAUAUCAGAUUGUCCUCACCAUGGAAUGGCCAGAUGGUUACUUAUGCAGACCUUCGACCAUGGAUUAACCCAGAAGGCUCGUGAGUGCCUAGAUGCAUCUGCUAAAGGAUCAUUCUUGGAGCUUACAAUUAGAAAAGCAGAGAUACUUUUGGAUAAGAUAGCAGAAAAUCAAAGCUGGUUCCAAGAUAAAGCUCAACAAUGUCAUCAAACUGAAGAAAUACCAGAAGAAGUAAAUGCAUUAUCAACCAAGAUGGAAAAUUUGCUCCAUUGGAUUGACCAGAGGGCCAAGUUCAAAGAAGAUCAAAGGGCCAUUAAGACAGCAUACAAAUAUCAACCCACUUCGAGUCAACCUAAUAGCAAAGGUAUGAAUUCAGGUAACACUUUCAAGCAACUUUUAUUAAAAGAGAUAAUUGCUCAACAAACCAAAACUAAUGAUGAAGUUAAACAAAGGCUAGAUACAAAUGAAUCAUAUCUAAAAGAUAUACACAAUAAAAUGGAUUUUCUAUUAACUGCCUUUGAUCAGCAAAACACUCUCAAUAAAAGGGUAGAACUUAAAUUAAUAAAGCUAGCUGUUGCAUUGCCUGUUGCCACUAACAUUGAGUAGGUAAAGAACAUAACUACUAGAGGAGGCAAAGCCACCAGGGAUCCCCCAUACCCAAAAGAGAAACAGAGAACAACAGCGCCAGUGCAACCAGCAGUGAUAGAAGAAGAAAGCCCAGUUGAAGCAGAAGAUCUGCUACAACCACCAAGAACUAUAGAAAUGAGGAAAGAUUUUAACGACACCAACUAUUUGCCAUUUCCCAUAAGAAAUAGAGGACUGCAGUCAGAUGAGCAGUUUGGUAAGUUUGUAGAGGUCAUUCAGAAAUUAUAUGUCAACAUACCUCUACUUGAUGCCAUACAAGUACCCACAUAUGCAAAGUACAUCAGAGAUAUCCAUAACAAGAAGAGACCACUGCCCACCACUGAGGUUGUCAAGCUGACAGAAGAAUGUAGUGCGACCAUCCUCAAUAAACCACCAAGGAAGAAGAAGGAUCCCGGAUGUCCCACCAUAGAUUGCUCGAUCGGAAACCAACACUUCAACAAUGCACUUUGUGACCUCGGAGCAAGUGUCAGUGUGAUGCCAGCAUCAGUCUACGAGAAGCUUGAGCAUACGACCCUAGAACCAAAAUCAAUGUGCCUACAUCUAGCAGAUCAAUCAGUUCGACACCAGUUGGGCAUCGCCGAAAACAUCCCAGUCAAGAUCAGAGAUUUCCUUGUACUAGUAGACUUCAUGGUACUGGACAUGAGUCCCGACUCAAAAGUGUCUAUCAUCCUUGGAAGGCCAUUUCUGAGCACUGCCAAUGCCCACAUCGAUGUUGGAAAGGGAGAAAUCAAGUUCAACAUAAACGGAAAAGAAGAACACUUCACAUUCAAGCCCAGACAAGAGAGAGAUUCUAUAGUGAAGGAAGUUCAUAAAGAAGAACCACUGGAGACACCAUCUCCAGAGGAAGGUAAUUUAGAAGAUUAAAAGAUUUGGAGGUCCAGCUUGGGGGACCUAAAAAUCCCAAACCCUCGCCGGGAGGUAAAUCGGUAUUUAUCCGCAUCAUUAAUUCUCUCAUAUUUAAUUCCUGCAUUAUCCAUAUUUAUUCAUAGCAUUAUUAUAAUAAUCAAAAGCCCCAUGUAAAUAAUAUUUAUGGUGUGUAACAACCCAUAUUUAUUAAUUAUUGUGGAGGUACAAAAAAUAUUGUCCAUUAUCAUUUCAAUAAGUUUCAAUUCUCAUAGAUUUUCCUGCAGUAUAUUUAAUGAUAGCAACCUUCUAGAAGCAUGACCCACACCUUGGGUCCCACAUGUCAUACACCACACCUCACAUACAUCCCAUCACAUUAUUUGAUCCACCAACAUAUCUCCACUCAUCAGCACUUUUCCACCGACCAACCACCACCCAUGAAUUAUUAUUCUACGUAAGAGCCAAGCAAAGGAGGGAUUAGAAAAGUUGCAGCCAGGAUGGCCACCAAAGGUGGGCGCCCGCCCUGUCCCCCCUUCAGCCUAUAAAUUGCCACCUCCUGCCUCCAACUUCUUCACACAAGCAUUCCAGAAAACCACGCAAGUUUCAGUUUCCAAAGAAGGAGUUCUUGUAGUGAAGUGAGAAGGAGAGUAGAGAGGAAGAGAAGAGUGGAAGAGAGGUUGGUAGUCUUUGAGUGAGAGAGUAAGGUUCACCUAGUAAGUAGUGAUCCCGCUGUCCAGAGCGGAAGUAAAAAUUGUUUAGGGGGAGGUGCUGCUAAAAUAAAAAUUUGUCUUGAACGACUAACCCCUGGACUACUGACAUUUCGGACAGCUGACCACUAACAUUUUCUCUCACAUUUUCCACUAGUUGUGUGUGUGUCAACUUUUGUUUGUAGGAUGUUCAAAAAGGAGAAGAACGCAGGAAAGGUCCUCAAGAACAUAGGUACGAGGAGCUCAUCCCGACACUCCUCGCACCAGUCAGAGAUGAGCAUUGACCCAACGCCCCCACAAGCUCCAUCAUCUUCAUCUGAUCAGCAAGUCAAGGUCCUCCUCAAGAUAGGAGACCUUGGACUGAAGACCCGCAGGGAAAAAGAAGUUUACCAGCCGCUAUAGAAUAAGGAUUUCAUUCACACCCCCACUCUUGAUCCUAUCUUGCUACAAGAAACAGGUAUGGAUACUGAAUUCGAUUUGAUUUUUCAGAUGGUGGGAUGGACAAAUUUUUGGAACAUAAAUGAGCUAGGUUCCCGUCUUCUCACCCUUGAAUUUCUUUGCACUUUACAAAAUUAUGAGGGGGAAUCGCUUUUCGGAUGUUCAAACAGGACAUUAUGUUGUCUUGGAGAGAACUGAGCGACCAUCUCGGUUUCUCUUCAAGAUGCAUCCUGGACAUUGACUCUGACUUACCCAAUUUUGAGAGACACCAGUUCUGGAGAGAGAUAUCUAGAGAUGAGUUUUAUAGCCAAGCCCGAACCAGCGACAUAGAACACCCCACUCUUAGGAUGUUCCACAAAUGGCUUGGGUACAAUCAUUUCCAUCGUGAUGAUAUUAGAAAAAUAGGAGAUUUACAACUUCUAUAUGCUGCUAUAAAUAAAGUACCCACUUCACCUGUUACACUUUUGGUUUCUCAUUGGCUUAGUAUACCUAGUCUUCAGGGACCUGUCCGUUGUACUUCACUCGUCACUCGUCUAGCCUCUAAUCUUAAUUUGCUAGAAAACUCAUCAUUGGAAUUUAUUGACGAGUUACGAAUUUAUCAUGGCUAUGACACAUUUAGGCAAGCUCGAAUGUUGAAAAAAGAGGGGAACGUAAUGUAUUUGUUAUACGAUAAUAAAGGCAAGAUUCGGUUACCUAACCCGAACCUUGGCCUCUAUGUUGUUCAAAAAUAUUUGAUUGAGAUUGCAGUGACACGAGUAAACCAGAGAGCUCCACAACGAGUGGCAUCUAAAAGGAUGACCACCCAUCAAGAACGCACCUGAUAUGGAGCUGAUCCCGAGCCAGAGGAAGCAGCGCACCUGCAUUAUUGCGACUACAACCCCUGAGUCCUUCGGGACCCAUGGGUUCGACAUGUGUUGACGGUCCUUAAUGCUCACAUUUAACCGUCAACUAAUCAUGGAAAAGGAUCCAAAUGCAACCAACCCUAGACUUAGGGUUUUGUCUGACAGAAUUCCAUGAGUUUUGGUGUUUGUCUAUUUCUGCAGGGGGUUAUCAGGAAAUAUGGAAGAAAGGCCCACAUGUCGGGAUUACAUAGAGAUAUUAACGUGCCGUGCAAUUUUCUACCAUCUAGAAGACUCCAGAAGCCACGGGAACGAACGGGAAGGCGAUCGGGCUCGGAGGCAGGGCGCAAGAAAUAGAAAACAAGCUGUGGAUGAACAAUUCACUCGCUUUGUUGAGAUGAUCGAGAAGAUACAUGUAAGCGUUCCUUUGAUGGAUGUUCUACAUGUACCUUCUUAUGCCAAGUACAUCAAGGAUAUCAUCAACAACAAGCGCCCACUGCCAUCCACUGAAACAAUUAAGCUGACGGAAGAGUGUAGCGCUGCUAUACUCAACCGUCUCCCGGAGAAGUGGAAGGACCCAGGGUGCCCUACAAUCACAUGCUCAAUCGGAACUCAGCGCUUUGAUCAUGCGCUAUGUGAUUUAGGUGCAAGCGUAAGUGUGAUGCCUAAAGUUGUCUUUGACCAGCUCAACUUCACUCAACUCAAGCCAACCACGAUGACUCUCCAACUGGCCGACUCAUCGGUCAGGCAUCCAAUGGGAAUAGCCGAAGAUGUACCAGUACAAAUCAGAGGACAGUUUGUUCUCGUGGACUUUGUGGUGCUUGAUAUGGAGUUAACCAAGGAAUCACCAUUGAUCCUUGGGAGACCCUUCUUGAGCACCGCAGGAGCAUAGAAGGAUGUGAAGGAAGGAAAGAUCAGUUUACACAUCAAUGGGAAGGAGGAGAAGUUUGAGUUCAAACCAAGGCAUCAAGAGCAAUGCUCAAUGAUCCGGGUUAGAUAUGGACCAAAUAAACAGAUAAAAGAGGUGCAGAUACAGCCUGAAAUUAUUUAUAGCAUCUCUAAAUCAGUAAAAAGACCUACACAAAAGCCGGAGCAAAAGAAAAAGGCAGCUCCCAAAAAGAAACAUGAGGAGCAAAAUGAAACUUGUAAGCAAAACAAGGCUCCGAAACAAAAAGAGAGUCCCCUUCAACCAAAGAAGGUAUGGAAGGAGAUCCAAAAGGACACCACACCACCAAAAACCAAUCAGAUGAAGUGGAGGCCAAAGAAGGAACAAGCAUCUCCGUCCACUUCUCCCGGACAAGGAGAUCCAUCACCAAGCACGGGAGAAAAAGGUCUUGCUCACCAGACCUAAAAAGGUAAGCCCUGAAAAAAAUAAAACAAUAAUAAACACUGGCCAGAAGCUAGCUUGGGGGAAGACCCCCAAUCCUGAGGUUAUCUGCAUUGCAUAUUUAUGCAUCCUUAAUUUUAAAUUAGCAUGUUUACUUUAUGAAAAUUCCAUUAGUUAAAUUCAUGAUUUAAUUAUUGCAUAUAAAAAAAUGAAAAAUGCUAAAAAGACAAAAAUAUAAUUCCACUCUUAUAUGUGAUGUAAGAUAUAUGCUUCUUCCUUGUUGAAAUGAUGAAUAGUUGCUCUCUCGUAAUUUCUUUUCAGUAUCUAGUUUCAACCUUGAAUUUUCCAAAUUAAUAAAAUGAUUAAAUGCGUGGGUUGCAAAAUGCUCUAUCUAAAGUCUAAAGUAAUUAAUGGAUAUAUUUGUGAUGAUCUGAGCUGCUAGUAUCCUGUUCUAAACAACGCUAGAGUUCUGGAGUUUUUACAAAAAUAAAAUAAUCACAUUGAGUUAGAUUAAGCUUUGUUGACCCUUUAAGAGGUUGUCAUACCAUUGAAAACAAAAAUAUUUCAUUAUGUUAUCAUCUUAAAAGUUUGUUAGAAGGCAUAUGGCUAUGAAAAAGAAAAAAAAAAGCAUCCGAGGAAAUAAAAAGGGACAUGUGUCCGAAACCUCAAAAAGAAAGAUCACGAGGAAAUAAAAAGGGACAUGUGUCCGGAACCUCAAAAAAAAUAUGGGCUAGUGCCCAAGAGUAGAAUUAGCCACAUAGCCAUGUGUCUCUAAUAGACAAAAAGAGAAUGAUAGAAAAGAAAAAGUUUUCAAAAAUUCAAUGGUAUGAUUAACUUUCUCUUUGGAUCCAUUGUUUAAUUUGACAAAUAAAUGUGCUAAGUUUUCAAAAUAAAAAAAAACUCUGGAACAAAAGUGAAGUAAAGAACUAGGGAUAUAGCGCUCGAUCUGAUCAAAUCCAUCCUGCAAAUGCUUAAGGACUCGAGGUAUGAGCAAUAAGCCCAUGACAUAUCUGUUCAAAAUUCAAAGGAGAAUUCUUGUUUGAAGGUAUGUACUGGAUAGAAGUGAAAAUAUUGUAGCAACUCCUGAUCAACAACCAAGAUCUUAGCUUCUUGCUCGAGGACGACCAAGGGGUAAGCUUGGGGGAGUCCCCGCGUGCACCGCCUUUCGCAGAGGCGGUGCUGAGCCUAUCCUCCCGCAGUCCCCGCGUGCAAAUUGCAGUUUACACCCUAGGGAACCGACCUUCCCCACCUAUUUAAGGUGGGGGAGAGGGAGGCUCCAUUCAUCUCAUCACAUUCACAAUCAACACUCCACCUUCAAGGCAUUUGAGCACUACCUCUUCUUAGUUUUUUUCCUUUUAGCUUUUAGAGAGAGAGUUGGGUGAGCUAUCAAGGAGGGCUUGGCUCCUUGGAGAGAAACUUGGGUAUGAAUAAAGAAUAUCUUUACUCCAAGUCCAUGCCUUAUCAUGUCUGAUAUAGUUCUUCAUAUGAACUAGAGUAUAGUUCUUAUGCUAUGGUAUAUGACAUAGAUCAUAGGCCC